GUUGUAUAGUCAAGUAAUUAAGUGCAUGUGGUGGAUGCCUUGGCAGUCAGAGGCGAUGAAAGACGUGAUAGCCUGCGAAAAGCUCCGGGGAGGCGGCAAAUAUCCUUUGAUCCGGAGAUGUCUGAAUGGGGGAACCCACCUACUUUAAGGUAGGUAUUGCAACAUGAAUACAUAGUGUUGCAAGGCGAACGAGGGGAAGUGAAACAUCUCAGUACCCUUAGGAAAAGAAANNNNNNNNNNUCAAUUGAGAUUCCCUCAGUAGCGGCGAGCGAACGGGGAUCAGCCCAUUAAGUUAUGUGUGUUUUAGUGGAACGCUCUGGGAAGUGCGAACGUAGAGGGUGAUAUUCCCGUACACGAAAGGGCACACAUAAUGAUGACGAGUAGGGCGAGGCACGUGAAACCUUGUCUNNNNNNNNNNNNNNNNNGAAUAUGGGGGGACCAUCCUCCAAGGCUAAAUACUCCUGACUGACCGAUAGUGAACCAGUACCGUGAGGGAAAGGCGAAAAGAACCCCUGUGAGGGGAGUGAAAUAGAUCCUGAAACCGCAUGCAUACAAGCAGUGGGAGCACCUUCGUGGUGUGACUGCGUACCUUUUGUAUAAUGGGUCAGCGACUUAUAUUCAGUAGCGAGGUUAACCGUAUAGGGGAGCCGUAGAGAAAUCGAGUCUUAAUAGGGCGUUUAGUUGCUGGGUAUAGACCCGAAACCAGGCGAUCUAUCCAUGAGCAGGUUGAAGGUUGGGUAACACUAACUGGAGGACCGAACCCACUGUCGUUGAAAAGCCAGGGGAUGACUUGUGGAUAGGGGUGAAAGGCUAAUCAAGCCUGGUGAUAGCUGGUUCUCCCCGAAAGCUAUUUAGGUAGCGCCUCGGACGAAUACCAUAGGGGGUAGAGCACUGUUUCGGCUAGGGGGUCAUCCCGACUUACCAAACCGAUGCAAACUCCGAAUACCUAUGAGUACUAUCCGGGAGACAGACUGCGGGUGCUAACGUCCGUAGUCAAGAGGAAAACAAUCCAGACCGCCAGCUAAGGCCCCAAAAUCAUAGUUAAGUGGGAAACGAUGUGGGAAGGCAUAGACAGCUAGGAGGUUGGCUUAGAAGCAGCCACCCUUUAAAGAAAGCGUAAUAGCUCACUAGUCGAGUCGGCCUGCGCGGAAGAUGUAACGGGGCUAAAACUAUGUGCCGAAGCUGCGGAU
rnacentral:rRNA from 1 species